AGUCACUGACAUUAGAUACCCCUGUAGUCCAGGGUGUAAACGCUGCAGGCUUGGUGUUGGAAGUCCUUUGGGGGCAUUCAGUGCCGGAGAGAAGUUGUUAAGUCUGCUACUUGGGGAGUACGUCCGCAAGGAUGAAACUUAAAGGAAUUGGCGGGGGAGCACCGCAACGGGAGGAGCGUGCGGUUUAAUUGGAUUCAACGACCGAAAAACUCACCAGCAGCGACUGUUACAUGAAAGUCAGGUUGAUGACCUUACUAGAUUUUCAG
rnacentral:rRNA from 1 species